AACAAAAACAUAGUCGGUAGAAUAUUUAAUUAUAUUAUAUUAUCGAUAUCUUCUGCCCGGUGUUCUUGUAUUAACGGCCGCAGUACCUUGACUGUGCUAAGGUAGCAUAAUCAAUUGGCUAUUAAUUGUAGUCUGGAAUGAAUGAAGGAAUGAAUAAAUACUAUAAUAAUUAGAUUAAUUUUAAUUUAGUCAGUUGGUGAAAAUACCAACUAAAAGAAAAAAGACGAGAAGACCCUUAGAAUUUUUAAAUAAUUUGAUUUACUGGAUAAAAAAUAAUUCUUUUCUCUCAGAAUAUCAAAAGUUUUUUGUUGGGGCGACAAGAAAACAAAUAAUUAAACUUUUCUAAAUAAUUAUUUUAUUUGACGAAAUUUUUAUGAAUAAAGAAAUUACCUUAGGGAUAACAGCAUAAUGAUAUUAAUUAGUUUGUGACCUCGAUGUUGGACUAGGAUCUUAACCACUAACAGUGUAAAAAGAUUGUUCUGUUCGAACAGUAACUUCC
rnacentral:rRNA from 1 species